rnacentral:rRNA from 1 species
AUUGAACGCUGGCGGCAGGCCUAACACACGCAAGUCGAGCGGGAACUUCGGUUCUAGCGGCGGACGGGUGAGUAAUGCGUAGGAAGCUACCCGACAGAGGGGUAUACCAGUUGGAAACGACUGUUAAUACCGCAUAAUGUCUACGGACCAAAGUGUGGGACCUUCGGGCCACGUGCUGUCGGAUGCGCCUACGUGGGAUUAGCUAGUUGGUGAGGUAAUGGCUCACCAAGGCGACGAUCCCUAGCUGGUUUGAGAGGAUGAUCAGCCACACUGGAACUGAGACACGGUCCAGACUCCUACGGGAGGCAGCAGUGGGGAAUAUUGGACAAUGGGCGAAAGCCUGAUCCAGCCAUGCCGCGUGUGUGAAGAAGGCCUUCGGGUUGUAAAGCACUUUCAGUAGGGAGGAAGAGUUGAGUGUUAAUAGUACUCAGCUUUGACGUUACCUACAGAAGAAGCACCGGCUAACUCUGUGCCAGCCGCCGCAGUAAGAC